rnacentral:rRNA from 1 species
GCGAGUGAAGAGGAAAGAGCUCAAAGUUGGAACCUGUUUGGCUUAGCCAAACCGGAUUGUAAACUGUAGAAGUGUUUUCCAGACACGCCUGGUAAAAAAGUCCUUUGGAACAGGGCAUCAUAGAGGGUGAGAAUCCCGUCUUUGGCCAGAGCUGUUGUCUUUUGUGAUACAUUUUCAAAGAGUCAGGUUGUUUGGGAAUGCAGCCUAAAUUGGGUGGUAAAUCUCACCUAAAGCUAAAUAUUUGCGAGAGACCGAUAGCGAACAAGUACCGUGAGGGAAAGAUGAAAAGAACUUUGAAAAGAGAGUUAAACAGUAUGUGAAAUUGUUAAAAGGGAACCGUUUGGAGCCAGACUGGCUUGACUGUAAUCAAUCUAGGCUUCGGCCUGGAUGCACUUGCGGUUUAUGCCUGCCAACGACAACUUUUUUUGAGGGAAAAAACUAUUAGGAAUGUGGCCCCUCUCGGGGGGUGUUAUAGCCUUUUAGAAAAUACCUUGAAUUGGAUUGAGGAACGCAGUGAAUGCCUUUAGGCAAGAUUGCUGGGCGCUUUCGCUAAUAAAUGCUAGAAUUUCUGCUUCGGGUGGUGCUAGUGUUUAAAGGAGAAACUCGUCUGGUAUAU